UACGAGGGGGGCAAGCGUUGUUCGGAAUUAUUGGGCGUAAAGGGCGCGUAGGCGGUUUGGCAAGUCUAGUGUGAAAUCUUCGGGCUCAACUCGAAGUCUGCACUGGAAACUGCCGGGCUUGAGUAUGGGAGAGGUGAGUGGAAUUCCUGGUGUAGCGGUGAAAUGCGUAGAUAUCAGGAGGAACACCUGUGGCGAAAGCGGCUCACUGGACCACAACUGACGCUGAGGCGCGAAAGCUAGGGGAGCAAACAGG
rnacentral:rRNA from 1 species